CCUACGGGAGGCUGCAGUGGGGGAUAUUGCACAAUGGGGGGAACCCUGAUGCAGCGACGCCGCGUGGGUGAAGGAGUGCUUCGGCAUGUAAAGCCCUAUCGGCAGGGAAGAAGCAAGACGGUACCUGACUAAGAAGCGUCGGCUAACUAAGUGCCAGCAGCCGCGGUAAUAUGCAGGGGGCGAGCGUUAUCCGGAUUCACUGGGUGUAAAGGGAGCGUAGUCGGUCAUGCAAGGCAGGGGUGAAAGCCCGGGGCCCAACCCCGGGACUGCCCUUGGAACUGCAUGGCUCGAGUGCGAGAGGGGGAGGCGGAAUUCCUGGUGUAGCGGUGAAAUGCGUAGAUAUCAGGAGGAACGCCGACGGCGAAGGCAGCCUGCUGGACUGCGACUGACGUUGAGGCUCGAAAGCGUGGGGAGCGAACAGGAUUAGAUACCCUAGUAGUC
rnacentral:rRNA from 1 species